CACUGAGUGCCGAAUGCAGAGGGC
rnacentral:piRNA from 1 species